ensembl:lncRNA
GUUAGUAGUUCCUCAGGCCAAACCGCCAUUUUGUACGGGGACCUUGUGCUACGGGAGCUGCUGUGGAGCAGGCGUGGGGCGCAGUUCUGAGGCGGGGUCUGGAGAAGCCGGGGCGUGUCGGCUUCUAGCAGACAAGGCCGGAGGCGUGAUUCUUCUUAGGGCGUGGGUGGAAGUCAGCCCGGGAGAGCGCUCUCGUUUUGCCGAGGAGCAGUGAAAACACCACAAGGACUGGCAUUAGUUCUUGAAGCAACACUCGAGAACCAUCUUUUUUUUUCCCCUUGAACCUCAGUUUGGCCAUCUGUAACAGUUAUCCUGAAUCUGGCAUUCAGCGUUACUGCUGACCACAGAUUUUUGAAGAGGAUUUGAUGGAAUGGUGGUUAUGUGUGUGCCCCCAGAGUCCCACCACCAUGGUCAGUGAGCGGAGAGGAGGGGGAUGUUCCAGUCUGUGUGUGGGGAUGGCAACCAGCAGGUCCUGGGCUGGCAGAGGCAGAGAUGAGCGACAGCAGGAUGCAUAUUCCAUUUUUCCUCAAGAAUCAACUGCCUAAACCCCCACCAUCCAGGAAUCUGCCAGGCCAUGGAAUGAAAGAUCUGUCGGUUGCAGCACUGGUGCCCAGCCCGGCACACACUCACUGGCCACCCCUUCUGAAUGGACUCGGAAUCCACAGAUGAAGGCGGUAGCUUCCGUGGGUAGCUGUAUUCUGGCACCAGAAAUGUCCCCCCGCCCCCAUGUUUUGUGAACCCACUUGCGUUCCACAUCCCAGGCGGGACCGGCAGCUUGCUCAUCUCUGCUGCCCAGUUCCCUCAGACGCUUUGCCAUUCGUGAGAAAUCACUCAGACCUAGACUUUCCGUCUUCACACAGAGCGCCUGACCUUUGCUUCCAGACCCAACGUCAAGCAGAAGGGGACGCCAGGAAGGGGACAGAGGGGAGAAGGGCAGUAAGUGAGCUGGCACUAUAGAGACGUUUUCCUGAUGCUUUCUCGUUGCAUCCUCUGGGCAGCUUCUGUAGCUCUUGGCGGCCCAUUCCCCAGGUGAAGCUCAGACGUGUGAACGCCUACUGCUCUAAGGAGUCCUGAUGUAGCCUCCUGUCUCCAAGCACCUUUUCACUUAGGAUCAGACCAACCAACAUUCACUGUGUGCAUUGUACCUCCUGAGGGUCCAAGGACACAUUAAAGACCAGGACACAGUCUCCACCCCUGAGAAGUUCACAGCUCAGAGUUGGAGGGAUGCUGCAUAAGCAGGAAUUAAGUAACACCAGUACCAGGAAAAGCAGAACCCUGCUCUGCUACCUGCAGACCUGGAGUUUUGGGGGCUGGGACCUGCCUGACGUCAGGAAUGCAAGUCAGCAGCUACUUUACACCUUCUUCAAAUGGUGAAAGGAACUAUAGAAUCUGGCCAUUAUGGUCUAAAUAUAUUGUAAGUUCAAAACUCAAGUGUUGGGACUUCCCUGGCAGUCCAGUGGUUAAGAUUCUGCCUUCCAAUGCAGGGGGUGCAGGUUUGAUCCCUGGCCAAGGAGCCAAGAUCCCACAUGCCUCACGGCCAAAAAACCAAAACAUGUGGCAAAAAAAAAAAGCAAUGUGCUUAGUUGCUCAGUCUUGUCUGAUUCUUUGUGACCCCAUGGACUGUAGCCCACCAGGCUCCUCUGUCCAUGGGGAUUCUCCGAGCAAAGAAUACUGGAGUGCAUUGCCAUGACCUCCAGGGGAUCUUCCCAACCCAGAGAUCAAACCCAGGUCUCCCAAAUUGGAGGUGGAUUCUUUACUCUCUGAGCCACCAGGGAAGCCCUCAGAAGCAACAGCAUAACAAAUUCAAUAAAGACUUUUAAA